GCAUUUCUUACUCGCUGUUUUUCACUCGUUCUUUUGGAUCGAAGCAUGCUCUACGACACCGAUAUUAACAUCGUUCUUUUUCGUCUUGAAUUUCAUCGCGUGCACAUGUGUUAAUUCUUAAUGAAAAUUGGUGGCGCUCGGAGUCUAAAUUGACUAUGGAAAUGAUAAAAUCGAGAAUUGAAGGACGCAUUAUGAAAGUUUCCUGACGGAAUUUUUGUUUAAAAAAAAUUGGAAUGAAUAAAAAUGUAUCAACACAGUUACCUAAUAAGGUGUUACGGAUUUCCAUGAAUCCCUCCUGAUGCAAUGCUCGCAUAAAAUGAUACUCAUGAAAACGGUAAUGGAUUGACGUAGUAUCGCAACACAGGGAAGGACAACAAGUCGAAAACGGUCAUUCACAUAUGAUCAUCGAGAACUCAAAAUGGCGUAUUCUGGAUUUUGAAAAAGGUGCCAUCAUAUUUGGAAGGCCCGCGGCUAAGAUAAAAAUGAUGAAUAAAAGGUUUUGGAUUUCAAAAGUUGAAUUUAAAUAAAAUAUAUAAACAUACAAA